ACAACUUUCAACAACGGAUUUCUUGGCUCUCGCCUCGAUGAAGAACGCACCGAAAUGAGAUAAGUCAUGUGAAUUGCAGAAUUCAGACGAAUCAUCGAAUUUUUGAACGCAACUUGCACCCUUUGGUAUUCCGAAGGGUACGCCCGCUUGAGUGUUAUU
rnacentral:rRNA from 1 species